rnacentral:lncRNA from 1 species
CACCCCUAGGUUCCGGAAAAAGCCUGGUCCCGCCAUCCCUGGGGGAAAAGGAGCAAUAUUUAUUGCAUAACAGAACCUGGCAUUGUGACAAGUGCUUACAUAGACCAUUAGGAUGGUUCCCAUUUUCCAGAUAUCUACUGAGGUGCUACUGCAUACCAGGCACUGCACUAGAUGCUGGGGAAACAGUCACGAGCAAGAAAGACAAGGUCCCUGUCCUCACAGUGGGAGAGCAAGGCGUAAAAUAUGUCCAGAUGGUAAUGAGUGCUAAACUGCAAGGAAAAAGACACACAAGAGACCAACUCACACAAUCAAUGAAAGCCCAAGGCCCUCCAGCUGGGAGUCCUGGAAGACAUACUGGUCCAGUUCCGCUGCCCAGACAAGGAAAAGCGCAGUCAAUCAACAAGGUCUAACUGAAGGCCCACUGUGUGCCAGGCCUUGGGCUGGGGAACCUCUGGGCCUGGCACACAGUGGGGACUCAAGAAAUGUUUGUUGAAUGAAUGAAUGAUCAAACAAAUGAAUGAACACUGACACUCCAGGGGCCCUUAAUCUAAUCAAAAGGAUGAGGUAUGUAUCCAUGAAAACUUAUCUACUGCUACAAAGAAGAGCAAGGCAGAAUGGUAGAGUUACUGCAGGAUUUGAGUUCAAAUUCCACCUCUACUUUCCACUAGCCCUACUAGCUGUGCAAUCUUGGGCUACUUAUUUAACCACUGUGGGCCUCCAUUUUCUCAUCUGUGUAAGAUGAAUAAAUAAUGCCUACUACCCAGGAAUCGAUGGUGAUAAUUAGAGGUUCUACAUCUAGAGCAUCCAACACAGUAGCUGGUAUACAGUAGGCACUCAGUAAAUAGUGGUAACUAUAUAAAGGGGUACAUGGCUCAGAGCCCUUGGAAUAUAGGCACCAUGACAUGAAGUCCGAGAAAAAAGGUGUAUGGUGGAAUAGGGCAA